rnacentral:rRNA from 1 species
AUGUACAUGCCUACAACAUAGUGUUAAUGCAUCGGAUCCCAUUAGAACUUUGUAGUUAAGCGCGCUCAGGAUAGAGUAGUAUUGGGAUGGGUGACCACUUAGGAAGUCCUAGUUUUUUACAUA